GUGUCAGCAGCCGCGGUAAUACGAAGGGGGCUAGCGUUGCUCGGAAUCACUGGGCGUAAAGGGCGCGUAGGCGGCGUUUUAAGUCGGGGGUGAAAGCCUGUGGCUCAACCACAGAAUGGCCUUCGAUACUGGGACGCUUGAGUAUGGUAGAGGUUGGUGGAACUGCGAGUGUAGAGGUGAAAUUCGUAGAUAUUCGCAAGAACACCGGUGGCGAAGGCGGCCAACUGGACCAUCACUGACGCUGAGGCGCGAAAGCGUGGGGAGCAAACAGGAUUAGAUACCCGCGUAGUCC
rnacentral:rRNA from 1 species